rnacentral:lncRNA from 1 species
GGAGACAGGCAGCGCGGCACUUCCGGUUCAGAGAAGCCACGCCUCUUUCCCCCCCCCCGUCUCUCCCUCUCUCUCCCUUCUCUGGCAGCGGCCACGCCCCUCCCUCUCCUCCUCAGCCGCUAGGCCGCCUCUCCCUAAGCCAAAAGAGGGACUGCGGGAGUCGGCAGCCCUUUUGGAUGAGGGCAGAAAUUGUUCGGCGCGGUGGCCAUCUUUGCUUUGGGCAGUUUUCUUUUCCUCAGAGCGAACCAAGGCGGACAUGUUGGUUUAGGUCGGGGAAACUCCCGUGACAGGUGAAAUUAUAGUUGGCCUCGCUUAAACAGCCAUUUUUGAAUAUGGCAGAUGUUAAGGUUUUAUCAUUGGUUAAAGGGCUCACUGAAGAUUGGCUUGUUUUAUGUGCUGGAAAUUAAAGCUGCAUCACACACACAUAUAUGCAUUUAUAUAUAUAUAUAUAUAUAUAUGUAUUAAGUAUGUGUGUGAGAAAGAGACAGGUGCAGGUUUACUUACCAGCACAUAUAGAUGCAGAGUUUUCAUUCGAAUAGGUCGCUUAAACAUAUAUAGGCGACCACGUAUUCGAAGAAGAACUCUGCAUCGAAGUUAAGAGAGAGGUUGACCCUAGUUUAAGUCGUGAGACAGGUAGAAAAAGCUUUUUUUAAAUGCCUUUUUAAAGAACAGUUUUCAUUUCAGGUCACCCCACAGGAGCAUGUUGUACGUUUCGCCUUCCAUGACAGUUCAUGUUUCUCCUCCUUCGGCCUCUGCUCGAGGCAAUGAGGAAGUUUAAACUGCAAGGAUCUUGAGAAUACCUCGAUAAAAACCUUUUUGCUGGAAAUACUAAGCUUCCUCUCCUGCGGCGACUUUGGGGAGAGUGCAGAAAGGGUGAAAAAGAAAAGACUCGUUGCGGGGAGAGACUGUCGAUCUCUUCCAGGUGCCAAUUUUUACUGCAAGAAGGUGCAAACCAAAUGAGACAGAAAGGAUUUGGCUAAGCACCAGCGAGCGCUCCGUGAACCCACAGAACAGGCCAGACCCAACUACGUCCUUAUGGAUGUUGCAUCAACAGAAAACCAAAGGGCACCUCCUUUGCUGUGUGGGUGUGUUUGGUCCCACUUGGUGAUAACCUUAUGUACUGACCUCUCAUGCCCCCCGCAUGUCUCUAUUUCCGCAACACGAAAAGGCACAUGUUUACACAUACGUACCAAAGACGGAAAUCGCCGUUGGCAGCUUAACAAUUUACUUAUGAAUCCUAUCCAGGGUUAACGCCUCUCUGUGCUGUCCCUGAACAGACGGCUUGAAACUUGCGAGGGCCAGGGUUCCUUUAAAUGCCAGCACGCCUUUGUCGGUGCGUUAGGGUGAUCAAAGAUUAGCCAUGGCGACGGGCGGCAUGACUUUCAAACUUAUACGUGGCUUUUGCCAACCGCAGGGCCGGGCUGCGCCCUCCUCGCCGGAUCUGGCAGAAAACCCAGGCUGCUUCUGCCCCUGAGCGCAUCUGCAGCGCCGGCAACCCCGGAUGCAAGCAGGAAGGCGGCGGGGCUGGGAUCCGCAAAAGGGAGCCGGGAGAGAGCGCCCACCACUAGGCUGGGGUUGCAAGAUGGGGAGGGGGGGAGGCAGCCUGAAGGUGGCAAGAAGAAGAGACGAGGGCCGUCUGUUUGGGGGUACAAGCCUUGCCUCUGCUCCUCUCCCCUCGGAGGAGUUGGAGGGCAAUGCUACCUUGUCGUUAGGAGAGCUAGCGGGAGAAACACUCCUUCUGACCCGAAAGAAAGGAGGAAGCAGGAACGACAGCACGAAAGUGGAAAGAAGGGGGGAGGGGGAGGGAAGAGACCCUUGAAAGGGCAGUUCGUGCCUUACCUACUGGCUCUUGCGAAAGAGACCAGUGGGACCGAGGGGGUGGCGGGGGAGCAUGGCCUCCGUGGCAAGCCCCUCGGAGGGUUGUCGGGAGACACACCUGCUAGCCCAGAGAGAGGAGGAGCCGGCUCCUGGCAGCCCUCGGGGCAGGGAGUGAGGGACCGAUCUCAGCCAAGGCACCAUCUGCUCGGAAGAAGAGAGUAGGGACCCCUCCUAGUGCAGACAGCUAAGGUGCAGGAGGGCGAGGGUGGCUCAACAAGGGAAGCCAUCCGGGGAAUGUAAAGGGGGCAGAAACACAUUUGACUAAGGCAUCGCUAGCUAGUGCUUCUGUUGAGUGAGGUGCAUGGAUGGAUCCCCCUGACCCGAUCACAAGGACGAAGUAUGUCGUUGUCACUCAAGGGAGGUUGAGUGCAAAGAAAUGUGACUUUACACGCUACCUCUGACUGCAUGGACAGUAAUCCUAGCGUUAAGAGAAAUUAGAAGAGUCUUCAAUGAUGAGCAUUUAGUAGGCCACAAGGAAGCUGCCACCCAUGGGCGUUGUGAAGGGUGGGCAAGGUGGGCAGCACCCCCCCAUAAAGUAAAUAAAUAAAAAUGCUUAACUAACUGACCAAACACAUCUAAGAUAGUUCAGUUCUGCCCCCAAAACAUUGAUCCUCCCUCCCCCCAUAAAUCCUGGCUAUGCUAUGUCAGUGCUGUCACGCUGAUUAUAAUGACAAAAAUAAAAACGUUGAGAGCAGGGAUCUCUUUGCACUGCAUAAACAAAGUGGAGCAUUUAAGGUUGCAGUUCUAAGGGCAGCAGGGACUUUAAGUGGUAUAAUUUAUGUUUUGCAUGCUGUAGGUUCCAAGUUCAAUCUCUUAUCUCCAAAGGACCAAACAGCCGAUGAUGGUCCAGAGUUCUGCCUGCAAUUGUACCUACAAAGCUAAUACUUGCCAAUACUGGGCCAAAUAGUCUGACCUACAGCUUCCUAUGCUGUUAUUUGGAUGUAAGCUGCAUUGAAUAAGUAGACCAGUGGAUUCCCCCC